CACAGAAGAGAAGGGAAAAGACAAAACCAAAGAACACAGUUUUCCAUUAUCAGAACAAGGCAAAGUGGGAUCAGCUGCUUUUUGAAGAUAAUUUGUUGUUGUGAGAGACCUCACAUAGUCCCCAAGGCUGCAUUUCCCAUUCCAGUCUCACCGUGGAGUAUUGGUUGCAGCAGGACUGUUAAUCACUGCUAAUUGUGAGCGCUGGGGCAGGAACAACUGUCCCCAGUGAAGCCAGCUGAACCAGUCUUCAGUGCCAGAAAUGCAGUAUCAGCAAUGACAGCAAGGCCCCAGGCACUAGCAGAAGGAGUAUUGGUGGCUUGGCAGGGUUGAAAUCCCUGCAGAAACAUGUGGGGCAGACAAGGUCUGCUGUGGUCCCUCGCUCUCCUACUCUUCCAUGGGGACAAGCUAUCUGCUGCACAAAGCCAGAACAGCCGGCUGGAGCUGGAGAGACACUCAAGUGUGGCACACACAGCAAUCCUCCUUCCAGCCCAGUUCAGUCCUGCUCCCUUCUACCCAGCUGGGCUCGUGGAUCCCUGCAAAGGGAAAAACUCAGGCUGGACUUGCACAGCAAGAGAAGAAAG
rnacentral:lncRNA from 1 species